GACGAACGCUGGCGGCGUGCUUAACACAUGCAAGUCGAACGGAAAGGCCCUGCUUUUGUGGGGUGCUCGAGUGGCGAACGGGUGAGUAACACGUGAGUAACCUGCCCUUGACUUUGGGAUAACUUCAGGAAACUGGGGCUAAUACCGGAUAGGAGCUCCUGCUGCAUGGUGGGGGUUGGAAAGUUUCGGCGGUUGGGGAUGGACUCGCGGCUUAUCAGCUUGUUGGUGGGGUAGUGGCUUACCAAGGCUUUGACGGGUAGCCGGCCUGAGAGGGUGACCGGCCACAUUGCGACUGAGAUACGGCCCAGACUCCUACGGGAGGCAGCAGUGGGGAAUAUUGCACAAUGGGCGGAAGCCUGAUGCAGCAACGCCGCGUGCGGGAUGAAGGCCUUCGGGUUGUAAACCGCUUUCGCCUGUGACGAAGCGUGAGUGACGGUAAUGGGUAAAGAAGCACCGGCUAACUACGUG
rnacentral:rRNA from 1 species